CGCUUGUGAAAGAUAUUCCUGUGCUCAUUGCUAUUGAUCAAGUGAGGCACAAAUCUAAAUCUACCCUUUUUUUGAUUUCUAAUAAAUGACAACUGGUUUACGUUCAGUGAGUAUGAAGAACCAGUGACUGUUCGUUCUACUCCGCCAAUACGUUGCUAGAGAACUUGCAAUGACACUAGGAGUUCCUUCUCCAUCCAUUGUUUUGAGAGAGGGGCAGGUUCCUGUGGCAAGCCGUGGUUCGUGCUUUGUUAUGGGGUCUUUGGGAGGAGAAGAACAAUAGAACCUUAAAGAGGAGUUGAGAGGAGUCCUUGUGACGUCCUUCCUUCAGGCUUAGUUUUUUUUUUUUCUUUGCAGGUAAAAGCUUUUAUUUUAGGUCUAUGAUGCAGGAUGGCAUGAUGGUUGGUGCUUCAAGACUUGCCAGAUGUUCCUCUAGGUGCACGUGUUAAUUUCCCUUGCUAUAGUCUAGAUGAAGCGGCUUCUGUUUUCCAAUUUCCAGUACUACCACAGUUGUCAACUUACUGUCGUUGAGGUGACCCAAGCGCUCGCCUAUGGUGAGAGGCGAGGCAACCUGAGGCCUGUGCGCCUUGUAACCAGCUGGGGCGAGCGACUUCAAUCAGGCACUUGCCCCACUGCACGCAGUGCAAGGCGUUCACCCCCUUGUGAUCAUGCUAAAAUCAAAACAGAAAAAAUAAAGCUUCUCCGUGACUCGAUUAUUAUUGGAAUGAGUAUUGUUCUUGUACGGCAUUGAUAUUUUAUGUAAAUAUGUUUACAUAAACUUAUGAUCUUUAUUUAUUACGUCUCGCUUCGCUGAGGUGUCACUUUGAUGAGUCAAUCAAGGUGCGCUAUUAACUUUGAAAAAACUAGUACAAUUAUGUCCUGAAGUUCUAAAGAUUCACAUAACCUAUCUUUACGUGAUAAUAUUUGAUA